rnacentral:lncRNA from 1 species
AAAAUUACAAGUUCCUAAACAUAAACUAGAGUUAGUUGGAGUUUGGUUUAGAGAUAAAAUUUAAAACGGGAAAAAGAAAGAAGAAGAAAAAAGAAAGAAAUGAAAAGAAGUAAGCCUGAUGUCACAUGUGAAGCUUUGACCCCAAAAAUCACCCGCAAAAUUGCGCCAAUACGUGCCAUGACUCCUUUAGCAUGGCCCAGGAGUAGCCCAACGUGGUCCCGAGACAGCCCAAGGGUGACCAGGACAUAUGCCCAUGACAUUGGCAGGCACCUCUCGAGGACAGCUCACAGGCCCCGCACGCGUGCCACGAAAAGGGUUGCUUGCAAAGAGUACAACUAAUGCUCGAGCGGGGAUUCAACUGGUAUGCCUCCCCUAUAAUACAUUUUGAACAUUUUCAGCUCUGGCAGGCUUGCAUAUGAAAAUGCCGAAACGUCACACCCAAGCUUUAUGACCUAGAAUGAAAAGCAAACACCUAUGGUGGGAUUUUAAUUUCCAUAUUAAUCAAUUAACAUGCAUACAAUACAAUAUAACCUUUAUAUCAUACAUUUUAAUGCAUGGAACAUGUUAACCUAUGGUGGGAUUUUAAAUCUAUAUGACAUUCAAAAUGCACAUACAAAUUUAAAGUAAUUUAAUCAUACAUCACAUGCAUAAAUAAAAAAAAACACCCUAAAAUGGACUGAUUUUUGGCUCCUAAAUUAAGCUAAGUACUAAAUUAUUACAUAAUUACUUUGGUGUAGUACAGAACCACUCCCAAAAACUUCGAACCGGCUGAAAAACCAACCGAAACCGCUUGAACCGGCCCAGGCGCACACGGGUCGGCGAAGGCAGGCGCGGGGCGAAGGCAGGCGCGCGGGCAGCGGGCACGCGGGCGCAUGCGGGCGCGCGGCGCAUGCGGGCGCAGGAGGGCGCGCGGGCAUGCGGGCGCGUGCGGGUCGCGAAGCGGGUCAAGGCGGGUUUUCGGGUCUGUGACCUUCUUUUCUUCAUUUUUUUUCAAUUCUCUCACCCGGUUGAACCAGUUACAGCCUAACUUCAACUCUAAUGACUUUUUUUAUUUUUUUAAAAAUUACAAACACUUUGCAACAAUAAAAAUAAGCCAUUAACAAGGCUAAUUACAAUAAUUAGAACAAAAACACUUAAUCUAGAGCCAAAAUCAUAAUAUAUCCAUUUUAGUUCAAACCAAAAUUUAUCUAAUAAAUAUGAACCCACCACAUGCAAUUGGGUAAAAAUGAAGCAUGCUCUGAUACCACAUGAUAGAACUAAGUCAUGCACAGCGGAAAAAGAAUCGAAUUUCUACCCUAAUUGCCACAAUUAACAUGUAACCAUAAACUAAUCAAAUUAGGGUUUUAAGAAAUAUUACCUUUGAAGCUUUCAAAAGGUUUGAUAUCUUCUUACCAAUUCUAACCGAGACCACCACUAGUACUCAACUGCUAUCCUCUAGACAAAGAACCGGGUUGUGGGACCCAAUUUUGGUGUAGAAAGUAAUGGAGAUAAAAUGAGAUUGGAAGCUUUCUUUUUUCUUUUGUUGAGAUGAUGAAAAUGAUAAAAGAGGCAAAAGUUUUUUCAACAUUUGAAAACACCUCUAUUUAUAACCUAAUUACAUGAAAAAAUGCAUGCAAUUCAUUUGCCAAAUCUCAACACCUAAUGUUCCACUAACAAUUAGUGGAACUUAGUGGGCUAGGUGUCUAUAUCUCAUAUAGCCACAUAUCCCACUAAGAGUUAGUGGGAUUAUCCAACAAAAUGUUGGAUUUUCCCACUAACUUAGUCCAAGGGUAAAAUGGUCAUUAGAUAUUUCUAGUCAAAAGUCAAACUUUGACUUUUCUUAGUCAAAAGUCAAUAUUUUGACUUUUUACCAUUUUGUCCGUCUUGACUAAUUCCAACCUCUCGAGCAUGAAUCCGCAUUCAUUUCUCCAAAAUUCAAAUCACAUUUGAAUAUAAGGCCUGUCAAAGUUUGACUUUUCAAAGUCAAAAGUCAACAUUUUGACUUUUUACUAUUUUUGACCAAUUCUAUCAAUUCCGAGCUUCUUAGUAUGAAUCCGCAUUCAUACUUAUAGUAUGUAAAACAUAAAGCUCUAUUUCUAAUUAGAAGACCGACGACUAUAUCACUAUAUUUGUCGGUUUCCCUUUCUUCUCCCAAUUCGAACAAUUCGACUUAUUUCAUCACACUGUUCUAAGUUUAAUCCAUAUGAGCUAGCAGAGGAACCUAAUGGACCUAUAGAUCAUGGGCUCCAACGAUUCAAGAUUAACUAGCUAAACUCUUUUAAACCGAGUUAAUCAACAUUCGUUAACUAACGGGUCAUUCCACUAAAGUCCCGUAGUUGCACUCCCCUCACUAUAGAUAUAUUUGUGUCCAUUUGAUAAAACCAUAAUCAGUAAGUUAAUCCUUCACAGGUUGCUCGUAACCUUGGCUGGGUCAAAAUACCGUUUUACCCCCAAGAUUACAUCUUGCUCCUUAAGUCCCACUAAUCCACUAUUGAACAAUUGGUUUAAGGUUCAAUCCUAUAAACUUAAUCCCUCUCGGGCCAAUGAGAGGGUGGGGCCCCUUGUUCAAGACUUGGAUUCAGUGUUUAAGAGAACAACCUAUCUACUAACCCUAAAGCAGGUAGGAGUGAAUUCCAUCUUGUACCCUAUGUUCCCAGCUAUCCACCCGAUCUUACCUCUGAAAUGGGUGGCUUAUUGGGCCAACGCUGAUGAGCUGCCCUCACCUAUGCAGAUCUAAGGAUAAUCUCUUGUGAACAGGAGUUCAUAGUUAACUCAGGAUUAAGACUAAGUUACCUAGGUCAUCAAUAAUUGAGAUAGUCAGUUUUAAACAGUAAACGGUGUUAUAACGUAAAAAAAAGACUAAUUCAUGGUUCAGUCUUAUGUAAACAUUUUACAUAGGAUGCCCCCACUUUCAUGUCUCUACAUGAACGAUUAGGAUCACCUCGUUUGUACUACAAAGUGGGCCGCAUCCAUAGUUUCUCUAAAUAAGGCGCCCAACCUUUAUUUCAUAUACUAUAGACUAUUUAGGCUAUAUACUCGAACUUGAUCCACGUUUAUGUUUACACAUAAAGUUCAAGUUUAUUCAAAAAUAGCCUUGGAACUUGAUUUAUUGGAUUUAAGAUUAUAAUAUUUAAUUUCUCAAUAAACAACUUUAUUGAACAGAAUAUGAUUUACAAACUACGAGUUUUAGGACAAAAAAUUCCAACAGACAGGCCUGUGUACGAGCCGACACAUGUGGAGUCACAUGAUUGCUUCUCUUACGUUCUGACCCAAAAUCAAGUUUGAGCACGACUCUUCGUCUCCUUACUUGAUUCGAACUCAUAUUCGGCCGAGUACCGAACUGGCUGGCAACGUCGUUGUUCAUCUCUCUAACAAAAGUUGAUCUAUGGGAACAUUGUCUCCCAUCCUUUAGACUGGUUGCUAUGGCCAACGUUUCUUCUUCAAACACCGUAUAAUUGCCCUCUGUGGCACUCUUCUUCUGACCCUCAAAUGCGAUAGGGUGUCUAUUCUACAGUUAGGCACCACUCAACGCAUGACUACGCACCUCAACGUAAGCUUUAAUAGGUUGGGUCACACUCACGGACCCAAGAAUUGUCCCUCUCCUCGGGGCUUGCUUCAGGACACGGCUGUCGACACUCAACCGUCCCUUCUCUUCCUUCCAUAAGCAGUCUUGUGCUUGAUACGGAGCUUUUGCAGGUCUAGUGAAUCCUGCACCCGACAAUCUCCUUGACUGUCUUCGGAGUUUAGACGACUCUGACUGCGCCAUACGACAAUCACUCUUCGUAGGCGAUUCCAAUAUGGGCAAACUAUCACGUUUCCCAUCACCACAUCUCUUCAUGACACACCUUGUGUCUUUCUGAACACGACCCUCUCUCAGUUGCAUGGCCGAGAUCAUUCUCAGUCCUUUGGGUUGCCGAAGGUCUGUCUGCACAACGGUGGGGGUAGACCCCGUGAUCAUCAGACAUUUGGCUGCAGGCAUUAUGAUCACUUGAUGUUCGAGAAGGAAUUCCAUUUCGAGGACUACGUCAAAGUCAUCCAUGCCUACAACCACAAAAUCAACGAAACCGCUCAAUCCUUCCAACUGUAUCGUUGUCCGUUUCACUAUCCCAACGACAGGUAGAGCUCUAGAAUUUACGACCUUCAUUUUUCCCGUACCCUUCUUCCAAUGAAGGUUUAGUCGUCUGGCUUCGACCACUGUUAUAAAAUUAUGAGUGGCACUGGAGUCAACCAUAGUGCCUUUGCAUGCUUUCGGUUGAUCCAAGUGUCAACAUAUAUUAGGCCCCUUUUAGUACGACCACUUGUCUCUCUCGGUUUCUUCUGAAGGGACGACAAGAGUCUUAUGGCUCCCACUCUAACAUUCUGAACUCCUUCUACUUGCCCAACUUCCUUCUCUGGUUGACUCGACGUGUCAUCUGAGUCUGCAGCUAAAGAGGCCCGAAAGGCAUAGAAGACAGCUUUAUGUAGGCAUUCCCUUGCCCGAUGUAGUCCGUUACAAAUGUAGCAACUGAUAGGAGUGUGAGAUGUCCUCUGACUAUUGGGCCUUUGCCCCAUGUUCCCCGUAUUUGACUGGAAAGGCUUGCGGUCUCUACCGGGACUUCUACUUCCACUGACAGCUUCGAAAGAAUUUGGUCGGCUGUUUUGAUCUCUCCCAGGUGAAGAGCUUUAUUGACGUCUCGUCUCUUGAGCGUCACUAGACAGAUCAAACAAACGCUCAGCUGUUGCAUAGGCUGACACAAGGUCUUGAACUCUCUGUUCGUAUAACUCAGUCCUUGCCCAUGAUUUUAACCCUUCAACAAAACUGAAGAUUUUGUCCUUCUCGGUCAUAUCAGAUAUGUCUAACAUCAGCCCCGCAAAUUGCUUCACAUAUUUCCGAAUGGUUCCAGUGUGCUUUAAUUCCCAUAGUUUCCAUCGAGCCAGAAUGUCGACAUUCUCGGGGAAAAACUGUGAGCGAAGUUCUCUCUUCAAACUGUCCCAAGUGUCUAUUACGCAACGCCCUUCUUGAAUGUCAAUAUAUCGGGACCUCCACCAUAACUUUGCAUCCUCAGAUAGAUGCAUGGUCGCCAAUGUCACUUUGGCUUCCUCCGCCACGGUGUUUGUGGCUUUAAAAUACCGCUCAAUAUCGAAGAUAAAGUUUUCCAAUGCCUUUGCAUCCCUUGGCCCACAGAAGGGCUUGGGUUCUGGGAUCUUUAUCUUGCCAAUUGUAAUCGCUCCUCCAGCCGGAGCUUGAUUGGCCAACGCUCGCAUCGUAAGGUUCACCUUCGUGUUCACCUCUACGAUUUCAUUUCUAACGACAUCCAGGGUGGCUCGAAAGUCCUCUGUCAUACCAUUUAUCAUCUCCAUUAUAUCCUUCUGAGAGUUAUCUAGCUCUAUAACUCGCUCCUCCAUUCGGAACAGAGCCCGAUGAACUGUUCCCACGCUCGUAGGGAACAUUUUCAAUUUUCCUGAUUUGUGACUCUAACGUGUCAACUCUAGCCAACAAAUCAUGUAUGGGUAAUCCGUCCAGGCGACCAGACACCGCAUCAACAACAUCGACUCUCUUGGCAACUUUCUCAAGUCGUUCUUCCAGAAAUCGGAUGGAAUCAGAAACUUUCUUUAGGUGGAGCAUUUGCUCUUCGAUCACCACCAACCGUUCUUCAUGGGUCUUGCCCGUUCGUUUUACCGUCAACAUCUCUCUGUCUAAACUGUCAGCCAAUUUGGCUCUGAUACCACUUGUCACAAUCGUAGCGUUUCAACCUCGAGAAGGACGAUUGUGCGACACUUGUUCUAACUCAACGAACAAGCAAGUCGAUAAAAAUCCAAGAGUUGUAGGUAACGUCGACGUAUGUCGUAACCUUCCUUUGCGUUUUAGGGAAAUUUUAUUUAUAAAACGCGGGAAAGAAAAAAAUAAAUUGAAAUAGACGUUACGAUAAGCAUUAAAGACCGUCAAUUGCAAGGAAAAAUGGUUGCUUCCAAAGAGUACAACUAAUGCUCGAGCGGGGAUUCAACUGGUAUGUCUCCCCUAUAAUACAUUUUGAACAUUUUCAGCUCUGGCAGGCUUGCAUAUGAAAAUGCGAAACGUCACACCCAAGAUUUAUGAUCUAGAAUGAAAAGCAAACACCUAAACUAGUCAUGGAAACUAAAGAUGAGAUAAACUGGGGAUAAUCGGAGCAUAUAACCAAAGGUAAACACACUUUGGAAAAAUAUGUCCGUGACACCCGACACCAGCACCCACCAUCGGGCCCAUGCG